GACGAACGCUGGCGGCGUGCUUAACACAUGCAAGUCGAACGGAAAGGCCCUGCUUGCAGGGUACUCGAGUGGCGAACGGGUGAGUAACACGUGGGUGCUCCGCCCUGCACUUCGGGAUAAGCCUGGGCAACUGGGUCUAAUACCGGAUAGGAGCCAUUUUUAGUGUGAUGGUUGGAAAGUUUUUUCGGUGUAGGAUGAGCUCGCGGCCUAUCAGCUUGUUGGGGGGGUAAUGGCCUACCAAGGCGGCGACGGGUAGCCGGCCUGAGAGGGUGGACGGCCACAUUGGGACUGAGAGACGGCCCAGACUCCUACGGGAGGCAGCAGUGGGGAAUAUUGCACAAUGGGCGCAAGCCUGAUGCAGCGACGCCGCGUGGUGGAUGACGGCCUUCGGGUUGUAAACACCUUUCGCUAGGGACGAAGCUUUUUGUGACGGUACCUAGAGAAGAAGCACCGGCUAACUACGUG
rnacentral:rRNA from 1 species